rnacentral:lncRNA from 1 species
AUGAUGUUUGUUAAAGAGGAGAGUGAAGAGAACACGAGUGAACCAGAAACCUGGAGAAUAAAACAAGAGGAACCAGAAACCUGGAGAAUAAAACAUGAGGAACAAGGAGGCCUGAUGAAAAUGAAAGAAGAAAGACAAGAUCGGAAUGAGGUGGAGGAGAAAUAUCAGGAUCAGAAAGAUCAUGAGGUCAAUGAAGAAAAAUCAGCGAGUUGCAGCAUUCAACAAACAGAAGUCAAAAGGACAGUGAGGCAGCAAAUGACAGACUAAUCCACUUUCUGAAGCUUGGAUUACCCCAGGAAACCAUCAGUAACAUUUCAGGUGUCACUCAUACAACUAUCGUUCUUCGGAUGAGAGAAUGUGGCUGGCCAGUAUCAGAAUCCAAUAAGUAACCCUGAGGUAGUUAUUUCCUCUUACCAUGCAUUCUUGGUUUUGCUCUGUUAGUUUAACCCCCAUAUUUAAAAUGAUUUUUUUGUUUAUCUUUAGACGGAGUAUUCAGACUCAAUGACAGUUGAACAAGAUGGUGGAGAUGCUGACCAUGUUCAUGUAAUUUUGACAGCAAGGUUGUAAAUGUGUAUAUAUAGUUGUAUAUUAAGUAGAACUUGUGGGGGGGGG